GUGGAUUAGAUACCCUGGUAGUCCACGCCGUAAACGAUGAUAACUAGCUGUCCGGGCACUUGGUGCUUGGGUGGCGCAGCUAACGCAUUAAGUUAUCCGCCUGGGGAGUACGGCCGCAAGGUUAAAACUCAAAGGAAUUGACGGGGGCCUGCACAAGCGGUGGAGCAUGUGGUUUAAUUCGAAGCAACGCGCAGAACCUUACCAGCGUUUGACAUGGUAGGACGACUGGCAGAGAUGCCUUUCUUCCCUUCGGGGACCUACACACAGGUGCUGCAUGGCCGUCGUCAACU
rnacentral:rRNA from 1 species